rnacentral:rRNA from 1 species
AUUGAACGCUGGCGGCAGGCCUAACACAUGCAAGUCGAGCGAGCGGCGGACGGGUGAGUAAUGUCUGGGGAACUGCCUGAUAGAGGGGGAUAACUACUGGAAACGGUGGCUAAUACCGCAUACCAUCGGAUGUGCCCACAUGGGAUUAGCUAGUAGGUGUGGUAAUGGCUCACCUAGGCGACGAUCCCUAGCUGGUCUGAGAGGAUGACCAGCCACACUGGGACUGAGACACGGCCCAGACUCCUACGGGAGGCAGCAGUGGGGAAUAUGGCACAAUGGGCGCAAGCCUGAUGCAGCCAUGCCGCGUGUGUGAAGAAGGCCUUCGGGUUGUAAAGCACUUUCAGUGGGGAGGCGUUACCCGCAGAAGAAGCACCGGCUAACUCCGUGCCAGCAGCCGCGGUAAUAC